CAAUAGCUUCAUUUCAUUUACAAGAGUAAGAAGAGGGCUUUGUCAACAACCAUGAGAUAAAUGAGAAAACUACUGGCUGUGCAGCAGGAAAACAAGGACCUCUGUCCUAUAUCACCAAAGAACCAAAUUCUGUCAGCAAUGUGAAUGAGCAGGAAAUGGAUUUACCUCUAGAGCUUCCAGAAAGGAACACAGCCUUCCCAACACUUUAAAUGAGACCUAUGUUGGACUAUGUUGGACUUCUGAUCCACAGAACUGAAACCAAGAGGCCUGACAGAUUGAAGGAGACCUGAAAAUAACCAAGGACUAAUUUGUUGUUUUUCUUUGACACUGUCAACGCUGGGGAUCAGGAGAAUUCAAGAUCAAAGACAGCUGCAGAGUAGCUAAGUCCCAUGUAAC